rnacentral:rRNA from 1 species
AACGAACGCUGGCGGCAUGCCUAACACAUGCAAGUCGAACGAGAUCCUUCGGGGUCUAGUGGCGCACGGGUGCGUAACGCGUGGGAAUCUGCCCUUAGGUUCGGAAUAACUCAGGGAAACUUGAGCUAAUACCGGAUGAUGACGAAAGUCCAAAGAUUUAUCGCCUGGGGAUGAGCCCGCGUAGGAUUAGCUAGUUGGUGGGGUAAAGCCUACCAAGGCGACGAUCCUUAGCUGGUCGAGAGGAUGAUCAGCCACACUGGGACUGAGACACGGCCCAGACUCCUACGGGAGGCAGCAGUGGGGAAUAUUGGACAAUGGGCGCAAGCCUGAUCCAGCAAUGCCGCGUGAGUGAUGAAGGCCUUAGGGUUGUAAAGCUCUUUUACCCGGGAUGAUAAUGACAGUACCGGGAGAAUAAGCUCCGGCUAACUCCGUGCCAGCAGCCGCUGUAAG